rnacentral:misc_RNA from 2 species
AAUUCUCUCAACAAAAAUCUGCUUUGACCGGCGGACGCUUGUUGGACUUGGACGUAUUUUCAUUGCUGGUGACUUUUUCUGGUCUCAGCUCGUCCGAAAUGCAUUAGCCUUUGGGAAAAACUCCCUCGAAUGCUUACGGCGUGAUAAUUUUCACUAUUCGCCCAUGAAGAUCGCGAGGGUUAUAAACUUGGGGCUUCUAAUCUCAGUGAACAACUGAACACUUUUCAUGAAUC